rnacentral:rRNA from 1 species
UGGGGAAUUUUGGACAAUGGGCGAAAGCCUGAUCCAGCAAUGCCGCGUGUGUGAAGAAGGCCUUCGGGUUGUAAAGCACUUUUGUCCGGAAAGAAAUCCUUGGCUCUAAUACAGUCGGGGGAUGACGGUACCGGAAGAAUAAGCACCGGCUAACUACGUGCCAGCAGCCGCGGUAAUACGUAGGGUGCAAGCGUUAAUCGGAAUUACUGGGCGUAAAGCGUGCGCAGGCGGUUUGCUAAGACCGAUGUGAAAUCCCCGGGCUCAACCUGGGAACUGCAUUGGUGACUGGCAGGCUAGAGUAUGGCAGAGGGGGGUAGAAUUCCACGUGUAGCAGUGAAAUACGUAGAGAUGUGGAGGAAUACCGAUGGCGAAGGCAGCCCCCUGGGCCAAUACUGACGCUCAUGCACGAAAGCGUGGGGAGCAAACAGGAUUAGAUACCCUGGUAGUCCACGCCCUAAAACGAUGUCAACUAGUUGUUGGGGAUUCAUUUCCUUAGUAACGUAGCUAACGCGUGAAGUUGACCGCCUGGGGAGUACGGUCGCAAGAUUAAAACUCAAAUGAAUUGAC